rnacentral:rRNA from 1 species
GAUGAACGCUGGCGGCGUGCCUAAUACAUGCAAGUAGAACGCUGAAGCUUGGUGCUUGCACCGAGCGGAUGAGUUGCGAACGGGUGAGUAACGCGUAGGUAACCUGCCUCUUAGCGGGGGAUAACUAUUGGAAACGAUAGCUAAUACCGCAUAAAAGUCGAUAUCGCAUGAUAUUGAUUUGAAAGGUGCAAAUGCAUCACUAAGAGAUGGACCUGCGUUGUAUUAGCUAGUUGGUGAGGUAACGGCUCACCAAGGCGACGAUACAUAGCCGACCUGAGAGGGUGAUCGGCCACACUGGGACUGAGACACGGCCCAGACUACUACGGGAGGCAGCAGUAGGGAAUCUUCGGCAAUGGGGGCAACCCUGACCGAGCAACGCCGCGUGAGUGAAGAAGGUUUUCGGAUCGUAAAGCUCUGUUGUAAGAGAAGAACGAGUGUGAGAGUGGAAAGUUCACACUGUGACGGUAACUUACCAGAAAGGGACGGCUAACUACGUG